rnacentral:rRNA from 1 species
CCUACGGGAGGCAGCAGUGGGGAAUAUUGCACAAUGGGGGAAACCCUGAUGCAGCGACGCCGCGUGAAGGAAGAAGGUCUUCGGAUCGUAAACUUCUAUCAGCAGGGAAGAAGGAAGUGACGGUACCUGACUAAGAAGCCCCGGCUAACUACGUGCCAGCAGCCGCGGUAAUACGUAGGGGGCAAGCGUUGUCCGGAAUUACUGGGCGUAAAGCGCGCGUAGGCGGCGUGCCAAGUGUGACGUGAAAGCCCUCGGCUUACCCGAGGAAGGGCGUCGCAGACUGGUAGGCUAGAGUGCCGGAGGGGGAUGCGGAAUUCCUGGUGGAGCGGUGAAAUGCGUAGAGAUCAGGAAGAACGUCGGUGGCGAAGGCGGCAUCCUGGACGGACACUGACGCUGAGGUGCGAGAGCGUGGGGAGCGAACGGGAUUAGAUACCCUUGUAGUC